AGCUAGUUGGUAAGGUAAUGGCUUACCAAGGCUACGAUCUGUAACCGGUCUAAGAGGACGGUCGGUCACACUGACACUGAAUAACGGGUCAGACUCCUACGGGAGGCAGCAGUCGGGAAUUUUGGGCAAUGGGCGAAAGCCUGACCCAGCAACGCCGCGUGAAGGAUGAAGUAUUUCGGUAUGUAAACUUCGAAAGAAUAGGAAGAAUAAAUGACGGUACUAUUUAUAAGGUCCGGCUAACUACGUGCCAGCAGCCGCGGUAAUACGUAGGGACCAAGCGUUGUUCGGAUUUACUGGGCGUAAAGGGCGCGUAGGCGGCGUGGUAAGUCACUUGUGAAAUCUCUGAGCUUAACUCAGAACGGCCAAGUGAUACUGCUGUGCUAGAGUGCAGAAGGGGCAAUCGGAAUUCUUGGUGUAGCGGUGAAAUGCGUAGAUAUCAAGAGGAACACCUGAGGUGAAGACGGGUUGCUGGGCUGACACUGACGCUGAGGCGCGAAAGCCAGGGGAGCAAACGGGAUUAGAUACCCCGGUAGUCCUGGCCCUAAACGAUG
rnacentral:rRNA from 1 species